UCCUACGGGAGGCAGCAGUGAGGAAUAUUGGUCAAUGGGAGAGAUACUGAACCAGCCAAGCCGCGUGAGGGAAGAAGGUACAGAGGAUUGUAAACCUCUUUUGUCAGGGAACAAAAGCGGGGACGUGUCCCGGGAUGAGUGUAUCUGAAGAAAAAGCAUCGGCUAACUCCGUGCCAGCAGCCGCGGUAAUACGGAGGAUGCGAGCGUUAUCCGGAUUUAUUGGGUUUAAAGGGUGCGUAGGCGGACUGUUAAGUCAGCGGUAAAAUUCCGGGGCUCAACCCCGGCGAGCCGUUGAAACUGGCAGU
rnacentral:rRNA from 1 species